rnacentral:lncRNA from 1 species
UCAACACCAGUUGUGUGAGCAAAGGGAUGACUCAACUGAAUAGCAGGAGAUGGAUUGCACAUCUCUUUUAUCUGCCAAUUGCCUCUUAGAGGUCUUUUCCUGCUUGGCACAAAAGUAAACAAACACAAGCAUUGCCUCUUAAGGAGGACUUCAGACAGGUGCCUGCCCAAGUAACAGGACAGGUCUUCCAGACUACAUGAAGUCAGAGAAAUUAUACCUCAAUGCUUAAGCUAUCAAGCAAAGCAAAAGCAAGUUCACAAUGAAC